AUUGAACGCUGGCGGCAGGCCUAACACAUGCAAGUCGAGCGAGAGUCGGGCAGGGGAGUAUUGUCUGGGAAACUGCCUGAUGGAGGGGGGGAAAAACUCGAGACAGUAGCUAAUACCGCAUACCAUCAGAUGUGCCCCGAUGGGAGUAGCUAGUGGGUGGGGUAACGGCUCACCUAGGCGACGAUCCCUAGCUGGGCUGAGAGGAUGACCAGCCACACUGGAACUGAGACACGGUCCAGACUCCGACGGGAGGCAGCAGUGGGGAAUAUUGCACAAUGGGCGCAAGCCUGAUGCAGCCAUGCCGCGUGUGUGAAGAAGGCCUUCGGGUUGUAAAGCACUUUCAGCGGGGAGGCGUUACCCGCAGAAGAAGCACCGGCUAACUCCGUGCCAGCAGCCGCGGUAAUAC
rnacentral:rRNA from 1 species